UACAGAGGUCUCAAGCGUUUGUUCGGAUUCAUUGGGCGUAAAGGGUGCGUAGGUGGCGCGCUAAGUCAGGUGUGAAAUUUCGGAGCUUAACUCCGAAACUGCAUUUGAUACUGGCGUGCUUGAGGACGUGGAGAGGAGACUGGAAUUCACGGUGUAGCAGUGAAAUGCGCAGAUAUCAGGAGGAACACCGGUGGCGAAAGGCGGCAUCCUGGACCGGCAUUGACGCUGAGGCGCGAAAGCCAGGGGAGCAAACGGG
rnacentral:rRNA from 1 species